UUGGGCGUAAGGGCGCGUAGGCGGGUAUUUAAGUCAGGUGUGAAAGUCCAGGGCUCAACCCUGGGAUUGCACCUGAAACUGGGUACCUUGAGGGCAGGAGAGGAAAGUGGAAUUCCUAGUGUAGCGGUGAAAUGCGUAGAUAUUAGGAGGAACACCAGUGGCGAAGGCGACUUUCUGGACUGCAACUGACGCUGAGGCGCGAAAGCGUGGGGAGCGAACAGGAUUAGAUACCCUGGUAGUCCACGCCGUAAACGAUGAGUGCUAGGUGUAGGGGGUAUCGACCCCUCCUGUGCCGCAGUUAACACAAUAAGCACUCCGCCUGGGGAGUACGGCCGCAAGGUUGAAACUCAAAGGAAUUGACGGGGGCCCGCACAAGCGGUGGAGCAUGUGGUUUAAUUCGACGCAACGCGAAGAACCUUACCAGGGCUUGACAUCCUCAGAAUACUUAGGAAACUAGGUAGUGCCCUUCGGGGAACUGAGAGACAGGUGGUGCAUGGUUGUCGUCAGCUCGUGUCGUGAGAUGUUGGGUUAAGUCCCGCAACGAGCGCAACCCUUAUCUUUAGUUGCUAACGAGUAGAGUCGAGCACUCUAGAGAGACUGCCGGUGACAAACCGGAGGAAGGUGGGGAUGA
rnacentral:rRNA from 1 species